CGGCGGACGGGUGAGUAACGCGUGGGUAACCUGCCUCAUACAGGGGGAUAACAGUUGGAAACGGCUGCUAAUACCGCAUAAGCGCACAGUACCGCAUGGUACGGUGUGAAAAACUCCGGUGGUAUGAGAUGGACCCGCGUCUGAUUAGGUAGUUGGUGGGGUAACGACCUACCAAGCCGACGAUCAGUAGCCGACCUGAGAGGGUGACCGGCCACAUUGGGACUGAGACACGGCCCAA
rnacentral:rRNA from 1 species